CUACACCUCCCUUUACGACGGAUCGUCCGGCACGUACCUGCCGGUGAAGGAGAAACGA
rfam:Streptomyces qinglanensis strain SCSIO M10379 scaffold1, whole genome shotgun sequence.